rnacentral:misc_RNA from 1 species
UCUCGAGCUCCUUCAAACGCAGUAGAAGCUGAAAAUGACGCUUGGAGAAAGGCAAGGAGAUGAGAAAAAUGACUCAAAGUACUGCGGAGUUGAAACGGAGUUCAAUGAUGACAUGCCUCAACUUCUCUCCCUCAACAUUCAUGGAGGAUUCGACUUUGUUGUCGCACCAUUGAUGGAUCCUGCUUACAGGCCUAGUUUACUGGUGAGUAGCAAUGGUGGAUCUGGGGUUCUUCCAUUCGCUGGGUCAGACUUGGUGCUAAGCCCUUCCCAAUGGAGUAGUCAUGUUGUUGGUAAAAUUAGCUCAUGGCUUGACUUGGAUUCUGAGGAUGAAAUGUUUCGGAGGGAUUCUGAGAUUACUUUGAAACAAGAAAUAGCCUGGGCUUCUCACCUUUCACUGCAGGCCUGUCUUCUUCCUGCACCCAAGGGAGUGACCUGUGCUAAUUAUGCUAGAUGUG